rnacentral:rRNA from 1 species
UACGUAGGGGGCAAGCGUUGUUCGGAUUUACUGGGCGUAAAGGGCGCGCAGGCGGCUCAUUUUGUCAGGCGUGAAAGCCCCGGGCUUAACCUGGGAACUGCGUUUGAUACGGAUGGGCUAGAGUUCGGGAGAGGAGAGUGGAAUUCCCAGUGUAGAGGUGAAAUUCGUAGAUAUUGGGAAGAACACCGGUGGCGAAGGCGGCUCUCUGGACCGAUACUGACGCUGAGGCGCGAAAGCGUGGGGAGCAAACAGG